UGAAGGUUAAACAAAUCUCUUCUUUCUUAGGGGCUCAAGGUAACUUAAAGUUUAAGUAAAAAUACUUAGAUAACGCCGCGGGACGACAAGACCCUAAAAGCUUUAGUUUUAUGUUACUUUUGUUUUUGUAAAGGGAGGGUAAACAAAACUACUUUGGCUGGGGUAGCCUCUCUUUUAGUACAAGGGGUUUAAAGGACAAGUAUGUUUAAAGGUCCUUAAAAUGUGGACAACAAGGAAAAGUUACUUUAGGGUUAACAGCGUGAUAAUCCUGGGGAGGCCUUAUUUAUAGGGUUGAUUACGACCUCGAUGUUGAAUUAGAGAUUCUCCCACAAGCAAAAAGGUGGUAAGAUGGUUUGUUCAACUAUUAAACCUCUACAUGAUUU
rnacentral:rRNA from 1 species